GACAGAGCCUCGAGCGUUAGGCGGAAUCACUGGGCUUAAAGCGUGUGUAGGCGGAUCGUUAAGUGCCUUGUGAAAUCCCACGGCCUAACUGUGGAACGGCUGGGCAUACUGGCGGUCUUGAGCCAUCUAGGGGCGACUGGAACAAACGGUGGAGCGGUGAAAUGCGUAGAUAUCGUUUGGAACGCCAAUGGUGAAAACAGGUAGCUGGGGAUGUGCUGACGCUGAGACACGAAAGCCAGGGGAGCAAACGGGG
rnacentral:rRNA from 1 species